rnacentral:rRNA from 1 species
GUCCCAUUAGCUAGAUGGUAAGGUAACGGCUUACCAUGGCUACGAUGGGUAGGGGUCCUCGAGAGGGAAAGUCCCCCACCACUGGUACUGAGACACGGACCAGACUCCUACGGGAGGCAGCAGUGAGGAAUAUUGGUCAAUGGACGCAAGUCUGAACCAGCCAUGCCGCGUGCAGGAUGACGGUCCUAUGGAUUGUAAACUGCUUUUGUACGAGAAGAAACAACAUUACGUGUAAUGUCUUGACGGUAUCGUAAGAAUAAGGAUCGGCUAACUCCGUG